rnacentral:rRNA from 1 species
CCUACGGGAGGCAGCAGUGGGGUAUAUUGCACAAUGGGCGCAAGCCUGAUGCAGCCAUGCCGCGUGUGUGAAGAAGGCCUUCGGGUUGUAAAGCACUUUCAGCGGGGAGGAAGGCGUUAAGGUUAAUAACCUUGGCGAUUGACGUUACCCGCAGAAGAAGCACCGGCUAACUCCGUGCCAGCAGCCGCGGUAAUACGGAGGGUGCAAGCGUUAAUCGGAAUUACUGGGCGUAAAGCGCACGCAGGCGGUCUGUCAAGUCGGAUGUGAAAUCCCCGGGCUCAACCUGGGAACUGCAUUCGAAACUGGCAGGCUAGAGUCUUGUAGAGGGGGGUAGAAUUCCAGGUGUAGCGGUGAAAUGCGUAGAGAUCUGGAGGAAUACCGGUGGCGAAGGCGGCCCCCUGGACAAAGACUGACGCUCAGGUGCGAAAGCGUGGGGAGCAAACAGGAUUAGAUACCCGUGUAGUC